AAGAAAAAUAGAAAGGAGUUGAAGGAAAUAAGUUUAAAGAUAAUCCUGAUAUUCUACCGGCGGGACGUCAGUAGGAUUUUCUCCGGUGUCUGCUUUUGACUUUUGUUUGCUUCGAGUCAGGCUUAUAGCUUGAUAGCAGGUCACUUUUGUUGGACCUUCAG